UACGUAGGGGGCAAGCGUUGUCCGGAAUUAUUGGGCGUAAAGAGCUCGUAGGCGGACUGUCGCGUCGGCUGUGAAAACUCGGGGCUCAACUCCGAGCUUGCAGUCGAUACGGGCAGGCUAGAGUGCGGCAGGGGAGACUGGAAUUCCUGGUGUAGCGGUGAAAUGCGCAGAUAUCAGGAGGAACACCUGCGGCGAAGGCGGGUAGCUGGGCCGACACUGACGCUGAUGCGCGAAAGCCAGGGGAGCGAACGGG
rnacentral:rRNA from 1 species